rnacentral:lncRNA from 1 species
GAGAGAGAGAGAGAGAGAGAGAGAGAGAGAGAGAGAGAGAGAGAGAGAGAGAGAGAGAGAGAGAGAGAGAGAGAGAGAGAGAGAGAGAGAGAGAGAGAGAGAGAGAGAGAGAGAGAGAGAGAGAGAGAGAGAGAGAGAGAGAGAGAGAGAGGAGAGAGAGAGAGAGAGAGAGAGAGAGAGAGAGAGAAGAGAGAGAGAGAGAGAGAGAGAGAGAGAGAGAGAGAGAGAGAGAGAGAGAGAGAGAGAGAGAGAAGAGAGAGAGAGAGAGAGAGAGAGAGAGAGAGAGAGAGAGAGAGAGAGAGAGAGAGAGAGAGAGAGAGAGAGAGAGAGAGAGAGAGAGAGAGAGAGAGAGAGAGAGAGAGAGAGAGAGAGAGAGAGAGAGAGAGAGAGAGAGAGAGAGAGAGAGAAGAGAGAGAGAGAGAGAGAGAGAGAGAGAGAGAGAGAGAGGAGAGAGAGAGAGAGAGAGAGAGAGAGAGAGAGAGAGAGAGAGAGAGAGAGAGAGAGAGAGAGAGAGAGAGAGAGAGAGAGAGAGAGAGAGAGAGAGAGAGAGAGAGAGAGAGAGAGAGAGAGAGAGAGAGAGAGAGAGAGAGAGAGAGAGAGAGAGAGAGAGAGAGAGAGAGAGAGAGAGAGAGAGAGAGAGAGAGAGAGAGAGAGAGAGAGGCGGUUCUCUUCG